GCGGGAGUGGCGAAAUUGGUAGACGCACCAGAUUUAGGUUCUGGCGCCUAUGGUGUAAGAGUUCGAGUCUCUUCUCCCGCACCA
rnacentral:tRNA from 3 species